UACAGGGGGGGCAAGCGUUGUUCGGAAUUACUGGGCGUAAAGGGCCAGUAGGCGGCCAACUAAGUCACACGUGAAAUCCCCAGGCUUAACCUGGGAACUGCGUGUGAUACUGGAUGGCUUGAAUUCGGGAGAGGGAUGCAGAAUUCCAGGUGUAGCGGUGAAAUGCGUAGAUAUCUGGGGGAAUACCGGUGGCGAAGGCGGCAUCCUGGACCGACAUUGACGCUGAACGGCGAAAGCUAGGGGAGCAAACGGG
rnacentral:rRNA from 1 species